rnacentral:sRNA from 1 species
CUCAGAGACUGGAUCCUCUGCUUGUCCACAGAACAGGUCCAGCAUAGGCAGCUGCAGGGCAAGUUUGCCCCUACCUGCCCACCAAUGUGAUUCAAUCUCCAGGGCCCAUUUAGUCCUUGACUUGCCCUAAGAUUGUCAACGAAGGACCCAGGUGAGGGGGUGAUUCUAUGCUAUGGCCACCUCGUCACU